rnacentral:lncRNA from 1 species
UUUUUUUUCUUUUUUUCUUUUUUUUUUCUGAGAUGGAAUCUUGCUCUGUUGCCCAGGCUGGAGUGCAGUGCCGUGAUCUCGGCUCACCGCAACCUCCACCUCCCACGUUCAAGUGAUUCUCCUGCCUCAGCCUCCCCAGUAGCUGGGAUUACCGAUGUGUGCCACCACAGCCGGCUAAUUUUUGUAUUUUUCAUAGAGAUGGAGUUUCACCGUGUUGGCCAGUCCAGUCUCGAGCUCCCAACCUCAGGUCAUCUCCCUGCCUCAGCCUCCUAAAGUGCUGGGAUUACAGGUAUGAGCCACUGUGCCCAGCCUCAAACGAAAUAAAAUUUCUGAAUGUCCUCAUGUUAAAAUGGUUGGGAAGCACUGACUUACAGUAUGUCCCCUGAGGCCUGUGCUCUAGAGAAAAAUUACCCUAGGUAAGGACCAUAGGGACGCAGCAAGUGUCAAGGCCCUGCGGUGGGCCAGUGUGACUGGAGCUCGAAUAACGGGGCAGUGGGAGAAGAUGAGGUCAGAAUCAGGCUGCAGCCACGGCAGCUAUGACCUCAUAGGACAUGGUGAAGAGGGGGCUGUGGGAAGCCACUGGAAAGAAUGAAGCAGAGAAGGAACAUGACCAGAUUCGAGGCUUAGAAAGCCACUUUGGCUGCUGUGUAGAGAAUGGACUGGGUGGAGUGAGACGGGAAGCAAGGAGGCAAGCUGGGUGGUUCCUGUAGUAAGCCAGGUGGGAGAGGGCAGGCGCUUGCACUGAAGGCUGCAGAGACGAAAGAAGUGGAGGGAUGUGAGACGUAUCUGGAGAGGGAAUCUAUAGAGUUUGCUUGGGAAUGGGAUGGGAGGGGAGUGAUACGAGGUGAGGGAAGUAAGUGAGGCUACUACCGGGUUUGUGCUUCCACUAUGGAGUGGAGGGUCGUAGCACAGACUGCAGUGAAGAAGACAGGUUUGAAGGUGGAAAUCAAGCAUCUUGUUCAGGACCUAUGAAGUUGUGGAGCCCAGCUGACAUCCAAGUGGGGACAGCCCAUAGGUGGUAUUUGUUGACUGCGUAAGUGAGCUCAAGUCUUCUGGUGGGGAACACGGUCUGUAGUGAGGUUCCGGUGGGGAGCACGGUCUGUAUGAGGUUCCGGUGGGGAGCACGGUCUGUAGUGAGGUUCCGGUGGGGAGCACGGUCUGUAGUGAGGUUCCGGUGGGGAGCACGGUCUGUAGUGAGGUUCCGGUGGGGAGCACGGUCUGUAGUGAGGUUCCGGUGGGGAGCACGGUCUGUAGUGAGGUUCCGGUGGGGAGCACGGUCUGUAGUGAGGUUCCGGUGGGGAGCACGGUCUGUAGUGAGGUUCCGGUGGGGAGCACGGUCUGUAGUGAGGUUCCGGUGGGGAGCACGGUCUGUAGUGAGGUUCUGGUGGGGAACACGGUCUGUAGUAAGGCAUAGUGCUGAGUUUUAGACAACUCUGCCGAAACCCCUUAGGUGGAGAAGACGUCGGCUGCCCUGGGCCUUGCACCCACUGGUUCUGGAUGUGUCAUCUCCCAGGCUCACAUGCUGGAUUCACGUCGGUCCUCCCUCCUCUGUGGCCACUCUUCAGAGACUGGGUCUCCUACUCUUUUCCUCACAGGGCAUUUCUAGGCUCCUCACUAUCCUAUUCAGAUUCUCAUUUUCGGAGCCUCUUUGAGUUUGAAGACGGCGGUCUGUGUUCUGCCACUGCCAGCCCCCGUGAAAACACCAUUUCUUUGGUUCUUCAUAACCCUGCGAGACAGAGCCCACCACCCCCAUUUUAGAGAGUGUAAGCUGAGGCUGAGGGUCCCAUGCUAUACAUAAAUUCCACAGUGGGAUUCGAGCCCAGAACAAACGGACUUAAGAGCCCCCCACUCCAUCUCACUCUAUAUUCUCACUCCAUCCCUUUGGUUUUCACAUUUACCUGCAUUUUCUUUCAGGACUUUUGAAUCACCUCUCAAAGUUGAGAAGACAAGGGGCUGAAAUCUUCCCGUCAGAUGUAGGG